AUUGAACGCUGGCGGCAGGCCUAACACAUGCAAGUCGAACGGCAGCGGGGGAUAGCUUGCUAUCCUGCCGGCGAGUGGCGGACGGGUGAGUAAGGCAUGGGGAGCUGCCCAAUCGAGGGGGAUAACAGCUGGAAACGGUUGCUAAUACCGCAUACGCCCUGCGGGGGAAAGGUGGGGACCAUUUGGCCUACCGCGAUUGGAUGCACCCAUGUGGGAUUAGCUGGUUGGUGAGGUAACGGCUCACCAAGGCGACGAUCUCUAGCUGGUCUGGGAGGAUGACCAGCCACACGGGAACCGAGAGACGUUCCAGAGUCCUACGGGAGGCAGCAGUGGGGAAUAUUGCACAAGGGGGGAAACCCUGAUGCAGCCAUGCCGCGUGUGUGAAGAAGGCCUUCGGGUUGUAAAGCACUUUCAGUCAGGAGGAAGGGGAGCAGACUAAUAUUCUGUUUCAUUGACGUUACUGACAGAAGAAGCACCGGCUAACUCCGUGCCAGCAGCCGCGGUAAAAC
rnacentral:rRNA from 1 species